rnacentral:rRNA from 1 species
UACAGAGGUCUCGAGCGUUGUUCGGAUUCAUUGGGCGUUAAAGGGUGCGUAGGUGGUCGUGUAAGUCGGAUGUGAAAUCCCGGGGCUCAACCCCGGAACUGCAUUCGAUACUGCGCGGCUUGAGUACUGGAGAGGAGAUCGGAAUUUACGGUGUAGCAGUGAAAUGGCGUAGAUAUCGUAAGGAAGACCAGUGGCGAAGGCGGAGCUCUGGACGUUACUGACACUGAAGGCAGCGGAAGGCCAAGGGAGGCAA